AGAAGAUAAAUAAAGAAAUAUUGGAUAGAGAAAAUUCGUUAAAUAAAUUAAAAGAAUUAAGAGAAAAUUAUUUUUAUCCGCUUAUAGGUAAAAUUGAGACAGAUUGGGAAUGUAAAAAGAUAGAAGAUGCAGAUCAAUUCAAUGGUUUUUUAUUGGAGAUUUUGUAUGAAUAUAUUAAAUC